CCCUCAACCCUCAAAUCUUCGUCUUUCUCUCUCCUUCGAUCUCCCUCAAACCCUCAACCCUCAAAUCUUCGAUCUCCCUCAAACGUUCGAUCUCCUUCUCUCUCAUAUUUUUUUAAUUUUUUUUCCAGAUUUUGUGAUUUUAAUUUCUUUCAAAUUCAAGGUUUCGUUUGUUUUACCAGUUUUUCUGCAAUUUUUAGUUUGAUUCGAGUUUAAUUGGAGUAUAAAUUUGGUUCGCUGACCUCGCCCAGACAUCAUCGCGAGCACAUACCCUAAAUUUCUCGCUUUCAAAGAGGUGGGAAUUUAAUGAUCAGUACAAGAAAGCGUUAGAAGAAGACCCUUCUGUAUUUGAUUAUGAUGGUGUUUAUGAUGAUAUGAAAUCGAAAAUGGUUCAGCUGAAAGCCGAAGAUAAGCAGCAGCGCCAGGUGUAUUGGAUGUUCAGAGUAGCUACUGAGAAGCAGCAACAAUUUCUUGGUAGAUCCAAAAGACAUUGAUUUUGAUUCAAAACUCUCUAUCUCUUCUGCAUUGGUAUGACGCAGUGGUUGACUCGGCGACUGCAGCGAGGAAUCGUCAGAAACAGCUGGCACAACUCAAUCGAACUCGAUCUGGCGCUCACAGAGCUCUCAAGGGGCUUAGAUUUAUCAGCAAAAUCAAAUGGAUUUUGAAACCUUUAAUGGCAUUGAGGAAGUUGUUGCAAUUAUUUGGGACAAACAAGUUGAUGAAGAACAACAAUUCAAAGUCAAAUGUCGAAGAACUCUUUCUUCUGAUCUCAACGACGAGAUUCUUUUGAAUUUUUUCGACGCUUCGAUCUGGUAAUAAUGGAGCCUGCGGCCAGUGCGCCGAUCGUAAUGAAAUAAGUUCGUAUGGAUGGUUUUUGUCUCAUUCUCCUCGGAUCUGUGCUUUGAUUUGAUUUUGCGUUGUAUUAUUUCGUUCAUGUUGUGAAGUUUUGGAUUGAUUAAUGCUUAUACAAUGUGAAGAAUGAGUUACAUCUGGACUGAAUUUCAUUUUGUGAAUUUAAAAAUUGGACGAUUUGAUGAAUUUCGAGUUUUCUGAAUAUUGAUUGUGGAUCAGUGAGGUGAUUUUGUCCUAAUUGAUAUUAGUGAAUUGUUGUAAUUACAGGUUUUCAGUUUGAUUUUCAGUUGAUAUAGGUUAGCGCAGCUGCGCAGAUUCAUGUUGUCAAAUGGCGACCCCCUCUAAAAAUUAUAAUUAUACCAGUGCUUCACCAACUAAUGUGGUGAGGAAUUACAUUUAGUCAAUGGAGGUGUUAUUUUUAUGUUGAGAUGUUCCUUGGUCCUGUCUAGCAUUUUAGUUUUCUUCCAGAAAACGUUCCCGGUUAUACUAUGGGCUCUGCAAGGAUUUCUGGAGUACUUCAAUUGUUCGUUUACAACAAUCUUCCUCAAGAAUGAAAAUGGUUCCGGACUUGACUAAUGUCAUCAAUCUUAAAUGAAGAACAACUAUUACUACCACUUCUGAUUUUUUUUGCUGAUUGUCAACUAUUGAUUCCCUAUUUUGCUUCAUUUUGUCUAUGGUGGUUCUCUUAAGGAUAUGUAACCAAGU